rnacentral:rRNA from 1 species
GAUGAACGCUGGCGGCGUGCCUAACACAUGAAAGUCGAGCGAUUCUCUUCGGAGAAGAGCGGCGGACGGGGGAGUAACGCGGGGGUAACCUGCCUCAUACACAUGGAUAACAUACCGAAAGGUAUGCUGAUACACGAUGAUAUAAGAGAUUAGCUUGGCUGUCUUAUCAAAGCUCCGGCGGUAUGGGAUGGACCCGCGUCUGAUUAGCUAGUUGGUAAGGUAACGGCGUACCAAGGCGAUGAUCAGUCGCCGACCUGAGAGGGUGAUCGGCCACAUUGGAACUGAGACACGGUCCAAACUCCUACGGGAGGCAGCAGUGGGGAAUAUUGCACAAUGGGGGAAACCCUGAUGCAGCGACGCCGCGUGAGUGAAGAAGUAUUUCGGUACGUAAAGCUCUAUCAGCAAGGAAGAAAAUGACGGUACUUGACUAAGAAGCCCCGGCUAACUACGUGCCAGCAGCCGCGGUAACAC